UACAGAGGGUGCAAGCGUUAAUCGGAAUUACUGGGCGUAAAGCGUGCGUAGACGGUUACAUAAGUCGGGUGUGAAAGCCCCGGGCUCAACCUGGGAAUUGCAUUCGAGACUGCGUAGCUAGGGUGCGGAAGAGGGAAGCGGAAUUUCCGGUGUGAGCGGUGAAAUGCGUAGAUAUCGGAAGGAACACCAGUGGCGAAAAGCGGCUUCCUGGUCCAGCACCGACGUCAGGCACGAAAGCGUGGGGAGCAAACAGG
rnacentral:rRNA from 1 species